ensembl:lncRNA
AUGCUCGAGAGCAAGGUACCCUCAUCCAUGUCGACGACAUUCUUGUUCAUAAGCGUAUCUUGGAGCUUUCUAGGGGUGUGUAACUACUCAAGCCAGUUAGUAGAACACUACGCUGAGAUAGCGAGACCUCUGACUAACCUACUGAAGAAGGAUGUGCCUUUCGAGUGGACUGAGCAGCAGCAACAGGCCAUGGACGACGUGAAGGCCGCGUUAUGCUCGGCUCCGUGCUUGGUGCUCCCCGAUUGCGACAAGGAGUUCCACCUUGAGGUCGGUUUCUCAUCUCACUGUUUGAGUGCCGGUCUUUACGAAGUAUAUGACUGCGACAGGCGUGUCAUAGCCUAUGCUAGUAAGCUCUUGUCCGGUCCUGAGUUAAAGUACUCUGGCUGUGAAAAAGCUUUGCUUUCCACCAUGUGGGCAGUGAAACACUUUUCUAGCUACAUCGGUGGACAGAAAGUCAUCAUUGAAACUCAGCACCAGCCAGUGACCUUCCUUAACAGUCAGCGCAUCAGAGAUGGUGUGGUGACCAAUGCGCGAAUCACCUCAUGGCUGCUGGCUCUUCAAAGCUUCAACAUCGAAGUACACUACGCCCAGAACCGCCGUAGCCCUCUUGGCAUGGGUUUGGCUGAGUGCCAACACUGCUCGGACGACGCUGUCACGUCAGUCCCGCCAGCUAGCCCUCCUCAGACUCUUCUAAACCCCAACAACCACUACUUCAACCAGUCUCUCUGUGUGGACUCGCCGACCGUGUACAUCGAUGGCAGUUCUUUUCGACACGGUGCUGCGCCAAGGUCAAGCGAGGGUGUCGUGUGGUUGAACACUGACCAGAAGAACUCCCAAUGUUACUGGUUGGGUCCUAAGACCUCACAGUUUGCAGAAGUGGCUGGGAUCUUGACAGUACUACAACUUGCUGUGGACCGUGGUGUCCGUGAGCUGGUGAUUUGCACUGACUUGGACUGCGCGUGUCUCAGUUUCAUUUGUCAUCUACCUUCUUGGAAGAGUAACGGGUUCCUAACCUCUAACCGGAAGCCCAUUAAACAUCAGGACCUCUUUAUGGCUUGUGACGACCUAGUGACGUCACAUGACAUGCACAUUUAUUGGCGUAAAGUCAAAGGACAUUCUCGUGUACCCGGAAAUGUUAAGGACCUGAACGACCUUGCAGACUCUCUUGCCAAACAAGGCGCGGCCGAUGGUACUCCAUGA